rfam:Citrus sinensis cultivar Ridge Pineapple sweet orange scaffold04770_contig_1, whole genome shotgun sequence.
GGGUGUGACCAUACCAGUAUUAAUGCAUUGGAUUCCAUCAGUAUUUCGUAGUUAAAUAUGUUUGGAUGAGAGUAGUGUUAAGAUGGGCGAUCUUUUGAUAAGAAGUUUUCUUUUUAUUUU